rnacentral:rRNA from 1 species
UACGGGAGGCAGCAGUGGGGAAUAUUGCACAAUGGGCGAAAGCCUGAUGCAGCUAUGCCGCGUGUAUGAAGAAGGCCUUAGGGUUGUAAAGUACUUUCAUCGGGGAGGAAAAACAAAACUAAUAAUUUUAUUUCUUGACGUUACCCGAAAAAGAAGCACCGGCUAACUCCGUGCCAGCAGCCGCGGUAAUACGGAGGGUGCUAGCGUUAAUCAGAAUUACUGGGCGUAAAGAGCACGUAGGUGGUUUUUUUAAGUCAGAUGUGAAAUCCCUGGGCUUAACCUAGGAACUGCAUUUUGAAACUGAAAUACUAGAGUAUCGUAGAGGGAGGUAGAAUUCUAGGUGUAGCGGUGAAAUGCGUAGAUAUCUGGAGGAAUACCUGUUGCGAAAGCGGCCUCCUAAACGAAUACUGACACUGAGGUGCGAAAGCGUGGGGAGCAAACAGGGAUUAGAUACC